AGAUUAAGAAUGCUUGAACAACAUCAUUCUGAAGAGCAGCAUGUUACAGCCUGCUAGUCUCUCUGGCUGUGCAGAACAACAUACCAGUUACACUUAGGAGAUAGAAUUCCUGCAUGGAACCUAUGAACAAGAACCUCUAUAAACACACCUGCCAGUAUUAAAGCCAAAGGUUAAAGUUUUCAUCUCUGACUCUUCGGGAAUUUGCCCUUUCCGUAACAAUACUCUGUCUUCAGGACUGCUGUCCAGGAAGCUGCGGGUGGGAGCAGCAGAGGCAAGAGUUGAGGAGCAUUUAACAAGGAUCCUGUAAAGUUCAAAGUUCACCUGUGCACUACGAGGGUCCCUGCACAGCCUCAGCAAGGCAAACACUUGCAACAUGUGAAUUCUAAGAAAACUCACGUGAGACAGCAUCCAUGAACUGUAGCUUAAUUUCAUUGAAAUAAAUGAAAAUAGUCUUGUUGAUGGUGUUAGCAUGUGAAUGAGUGCUUGCCGAAGGAGGUCUCUAACAAUUGCCAUAAUUAACCAAUUAUAAAAUUAGCAUGGUAAAAGAAGAGAAAACGUGAUGUUAAUAUUUAAACCUAUAAGAUAUUCACAGUUAAAUGUCCAGCUCUGCAUUUUCCCAUGAUAGAUGUCAAUAGCUAAACAGCAGCACCAUUUUUCAUUCAGUGGAAACUGUUAUUUCAACACAACACUCAGAUUGAAGUACAAACUGAAGAUUUAAUUGAGCAAAAUUAUGACUCGUCUAACUUGCAGCAUUUGGCCUUAAAAAACAAUUAAGAGCAAGGCAGUAGGAAAAAAUAAUAUCAUGAACUAAACAGGCCUUUUUUUUUAAUUUUAAUUUCUGCUUUAAAACAAA